rnacentral:misc_RNA from 1 species
AAGUCGUAACAAGGUUUCCGUAGGUGAACCUGCGGAAGGAUCAUUAUCGUAUUACAGUGAGACACUGAGGGCUGUCGCUGACGCAAGUCGUGCACGCCUUUGGUGUUCUCUCAAUAUACAUCCAUCUCACCCCUGUGCAUCAUCGCGUGGGCCAUCGGCACCUCUUGGUGUCAGUGGCUUGCGUCUUUUAUACAAACCCCCCUUUAAACGUAUUAGAAUGUAACUUGCGACAUUAACGCAAUCAAUAUAACUUUCAACAACGGAUCUCUUGGCUCUC